GCCCAAUUAUCGCACGUGCCUGUGGUUGCGUGCCGACCGGUGGGGCUCCGGACAAGAGGCCGGGGCGACGCCCAUGUGGAUCCCGAAAGGGCCACGAAGGAGUCCAGGAGUGAUCCUGGAAAGGUCGGCAGCCGGAAAGCGAACCGGUGAACUCCGUCUCCGCGGAGGACGCGACUUGAAGCAACGACGUAGCGGGCUUUU
rnacentral:sRNA from 1 species